rnacentral:rRNA from 1 species
UACAGAGGUCUCAAGCGUUGUUCGGAUUCAUUGGGCGUAAAGGGUGCGUAGGCGGCGCGGUAAGUCGGAUGUGAAAUCUCGGGGCUUAACGUCCGAAACUCGACUUCGUAUACUGACCGUCGCUUGAGGACUGGAGAGGAGACUGGAAUUUACGGUGUAGCGGUGAAAUGCGUAGAUAUCGUAAGGAAGACCAGUGGCGAAGGCGGGUCUCUGGACAGUUCCUGACGCUGAGGCACGAAGGUCAGGGGAGCAAACGGG